GACGAACGCUGGCGGCGUGCUUAACACAUGCAAGUCGUACGGUAAGGCCCUUUCGGGGGUACACGAGUGGCGAACGGGUGAGUAACACGUGAGUAACCUGCCCACAACUUUGGGAUAACGCUAGGAAACUGGUGCUAAUACUGGAUAUGUGCUCCUGCUGCAUGGUGGGGGUUGGAAAGCUCCGGCGGUUGUGGAUGGACUCGCGGCCUAUCAGCUUGUUGGUGGGGUAGUGGCCUACCAAGGCGGCGACGGGUAGCCGGCCUGAGAGGGUGACCGGCCACAUUGGGACUGAGAUACGGCCCAGACUCCUACGGGAGGCAGCAGUGGGGAAUAUUGCACAAUGGGCGCAAGCCUGAUGCAGCAACGCCGCGGGCGGGAGGACGGCCUUCGGGUUGGAAACCGCUUUCAGCAGGGACGAAGCUUUUUGUGACGGUACCUGCAGAAGAAGCACCGGCUAACUACGUG
rnacentral:rRNA from 1 species